rnacentral:lncRNA from 1 species
GGUGGGUCGUGGUUAAAGACAGGGAGUUAGAGAGAGAAAGUAGUGACAGAGGUGGUGUAGCAGAGAGAUGGCUGCCGGGGCUGCCGGGUUCAGCAGAGUUGGUCUCAGGCAGGGAAGGGGCAGUGGCGACGCACGGAGCUGGGUGCACGUGACGGAGUUGUCGCACGUGGCAAUGGGUUGCUUGUCACGCAUGGCGAUAGACUCCAGUCGCACACGGUGAUGGAAAGAGGUCAGUCGCACAUAGCAUUGGGG